CCUACGGGAGGCAUCAGUGGGGAAUAUUGGACAAUGGGGGGAACCCUGAUCCAGCCAUGCCGCGUGUGUGAAGAAGGCCCUCGGGUUGUAAAGCACUUUCAGUGAGGAAGAACGCCUGGUGGUUAAUACCCAUCAGGAAAGACAUCACUCACAGAAGAAGCACCGGCUAACUCCGUGCCAGCAGCCGCGGUAAUACGGAGGGUGCGAGCGUUAAUCGGAAUUACUGGGCGUAAAGCGCGCGUAGGUGGCUUGAUAAGCCGGUUGUGAAAGCCCCGGGCUCAACCUGGGAACGGCAUCCGGAACUGUCAAGCUAGAGUGCAGGAGAGGAAGGUAGAAUUCCCGGUGUAGCGGUGAAUGCGUAGAGAUCGGGAGGAAUACCAGUGGCGAAGGCGGCCUUCUGGACUGACACUGACACUGAGGUGCGAAAGCGUGGGUAGCAAACAGGAUUAGAUACCCUAGUAGUC
rnacentral:rRNA from 1 species